GUGCAAGGACAAGGACCUGGGCCUCACUAUGGCCAUGUAAUGGAUUUGGUUGCUCAAAGAUACCUUGUUAUUGUCGUCUCCAGGUUUGCUCAAUUGCAAGUGUGCCAACAUUGACCAAAGAUCUUAAGCAAG